CAAUAGCGUAUAUUAAAGUUGUUGCAGUUAAAAAGCUCGUAGUUGGAUUUCUGGUGGGAGCGAUCGGUCUGGCGCUUAGCGCGAGUACUUGCAUCGUCUCCGGCCAUCCUUGGGGAGAGUCUGUCUGGCAUUAGGUUGUCGUGCAGAGGAUCCUCAUCGUUUACUGUGAAAAAAUUAGAGUGUUCAAAGCAGGCUUAUGCCGUUGAAUAUAUUAGCAUGGAAUAAUAAGAUAGGACUUUGGUACUAUUUUGUUGGUUUGCGCACCAAAGUAAUGAUUAAUAGGGACAGUUGGGGGUAUUCGUAUUCCGUUGUCAGAGGUGAAAUUCUUGGAUUUACGGAAGACGAACUACUGCGAAAGCAUUUACCAAGGAUGUUUUCAUUAA
rnacentral:rRNA from 1 species